CAUCAACCAUUUGUCAACAGGCGUGCUCUCGGCGCCAAAGUCUUCCAAGACUGAUCCCGUCUGGACCGGCUGAACCAGAUCGUCUGGCCGGAGAUUGCCAGCAUGGUUCAGGAGGAGAUGAGGGUCCUGGAGGUGAUGAAGGAUGCCUGGUGUGUGUGCUGGAUGCAGCCGUGCUGAUUGAAGCGGGAUGGGACGGGUUCUGCCAUGAGGUGUGGUCAUGCAUUAUUCAUAAGGAUUGAGGCCUUGAAGCGUAUUCUAGACAGGGAUCGUGUACCAGAGGAGAAGGCACGACAGCGCAUAGAAUCCCAGCUCAGUAACCAGGAACGUGUGGAUCAUUCCAAUGUCGUCUUCUGCACCUUCUUGGAGCCAGAGGUCACUCAGAAGCAGGUGGAGAAGGCUUGGGCUGGGCUUAUGGAGAGAUUACCAUCUCGUGAAGCUAAACCACAGCAGCCUAAACUAUGACGGCGGAAGGCACCAGGAGCUUAAUGUAGCUUUGAUGUCAUCAAAGCCCUAAGUGCGCUGUGGUCGUCGUUAAGAAGCGAAUCAACAAUAGAUUUUGCUCCUUGAACCAAGGAAAUCUCGUCAACCCAUCCCCAGGAACGGUGAUCGACUCGGUGGUCACCAAACCAGACUUAUACGACUUCUUCCUUGUCAGUCAGUCUGUACGCCAGGGCACGGUCACUCCAACCAGUUACAAUGUGAUCUGGGACAACUCGGGUCUGGCACCAGACAGCAUGCAAAGCCUGACCUACAAGCUCACCCAUCUCUACUUCAAUUGGCCGGGAACCAUUCGUGUACCAGCACCCUGCCUCUACGCUCACAAGCUAUCUUUCCUUGUUGGCCAAAGCCUGCACAAAGAGCCCCGGAUUGAGUUGGCUGACCGGCUGUUCUUCCUAUAGGCAGUAAGACCCGGGGUAAUAUGUAAACAAUAGCUUACGUUUGCCAGCGUUAGCAGCUUUUGCUCAUGUGGGACAGACUGUUUUCUGCUGACAUUUGCGAAUGUUAACAACAAAGGCAUAUGGUCUUCCUAUGUCGUAUUGUCAGAAAUUAGACUUUCAUGCUGUAACGCUAAAGCUUCAUGCUGAAGAUGUCUUCACUGUUUUGCUCAUACAAAAUUUGGAAAUUAGCAAAAACAAAUUGACUGGAAAGAUUCAAAAUAAUAUAAAUGGGGCACAAAACAGCAAUUAACGAUUACUCCUCUUUCAGUUUGUCAUCAGGUUAAAAAAAACAUGAAAACUACUUCAUGAUGAGGGUUUUGAGGUCACAAGAAGUUGGGUCAUUCCAUGGGUCGGAUGGUCACCAUCUCAGAUUUUAUUUUUAAUAUUCUUCCAUAAGAUCCAAUUGUUUGUUAUUCUGUAGGAUCCAAAUUGUUGCAAUUUUCCAUAAGAUGCAGUUUUUGCAAUCUUCCAUACGAUCCAAUUGUUGCGAUAUUCCAAUUGUUGCAAUGUUUUUAAGUU